rnacentral:rRNA from 1 species
AUAACGGCGUCGAGCGGCGGACGGGUGAGGCCGGCCUAGGAAAUUGCCCUGAUGUGGGGGAUAACCAUUGGAAACGAUGGCUAAUACCGCAUAAUGCCUACGGGCCAAAGAGGGGGACCUUCGGGCCUCUCGCGUCAGGAUAUGCCUAGGUGGGAUUAGCUAGUUGGUGAGGUAAGGGCUCACCAAGGCGACCUAGCCUAGCUGGUCUGAGAGGAUGAUCAGCCACACUGGAACUGAGACACGGUCCAGACUCCUACGGGAGGCAGCAGUGGGGAAUAUUGCACAAUGGGCGCAAGCCUGAUGCAGCCAUGCCGCGUGUGUGAAGAAGGCCUUCGGGUUGUAAAGCACUUUCAGUCGUGAAGAGAGUAGUGUAGUUAAUAGCUGCAUUAUUUGACGUUAGCGACAGAAGAAGCACCGGCUAACUCC